rnacentral:rRNA from 1 species
AUUGAACGCUGGCGGCAGGCCUAACACAUGCAAGUCGAACGGUAACAGGAUGUGCUUGCACAUCGCUGACGAGUGGCGGACGGGUGAGUAAUGCUUGGGAACUUGCCUUUGCGAGGGGGAUAACAGUUGGAAACGACUGCUAAUACCGCAUAAUGUCUUCGGACCAAACGGGGCUUCGGCUCCGGCGCAAAGAGAGGCCCAAGUGAGAUUAGCUAGUUGGUAAGGUAACGGCUCACCAAGGCGACGAUCUCUAGCUGUUCUGAGAGGAAGAUCAGCCACACUGGGACUGAGACACGGCCCAGACUCCUACGGGAGGCAGCAGUGGGGAAUAUUGCACAAUGGGGGAAACCCUGAUGCAGCCAUGCCGCGUGUGUGAAGAAGGCCUUCGGGUUGUAAAGCACUUUCAGUUGUGAGGAAAGUUAGUAGUUAAUACCUGCUAG